UAUAUUGGGCAAUGGGCGAAAGCCUGACCCAGCAACGCCGCGUGAAGGAAGAAGGUCUUCGGAUUGUAAACUUCUUUUAUGAGGGACGAAGGACGUGACGGUACCACAUGAAUACGCCACGGCUAACUCCCUGCCAGCAGCCGCGGUAAUACGUAGGUGGCAAGCGUUAUCCGGAUUUACUGGGUGUAAAGGGCGCGUAGGCGGGGAUGCAAGUCAGAUGUGAAAUCUAUGGGCUUAACCCAUAAACUGCAUUUGAAACUGUGUCUCUUGAGUGCUGGAGAGGUAGACGGAAUUCCUUGUGUAGCGGUGAAAUGCGUAGAUAUAAGGAAGAACACCAGUGGCGAAGGCGGUCUACUGGACAGUAACUGACGCUGAGGCGCGAAAGCAUGGGGAGCAAA
rnacentral:rRNA from 1 species